GAUGAACGCUAGCGGCAGGCCUAACACAUGCAAGUCGAGGGGUAGGUAUCUUCGGAUAUUGAGACCGGCGCACGGGUGCGUAACGCGUAUGCAAUCUACCUUAUACUAAGGGAUAGCCCAGAGAAAUUUGGAUUAAUACCUUAUAGUUAUUUUGAAUGGCAUCGUUUAAAAUAUAAAGAUUUAUUGGUAUAAGAUGAGCAUGCGUCCCAUUAGUUAGUUGGUAAGGUAACGGCUUACCAAGACGAUGAUGGGUAGGGGUCCUGAGAGGGAGAUCCCCCACACUGGUACUGAGACACGGACCAG
rnacentral:rRNA from 1 species